rnacentral:rRNA from 1 species
GACGAACGCUGGCGGCGCGCUUAACACAUGCAAGUCGAGCGAUGAAAUCUUGACAGAACCCUUCGGGGCGAAGAUAAGAUGGAUUAGCGGCGGACGGGUGAGUAACACGUGAGUAACCUGCCUUAGACAUUGGGAUAGCCUCGGGAAACCGGGAUUAAUACCAAAUGAAAUCACAUAUGCACAUGCAUAAAUGAUCAAAGCUCCGGCGGUCUAAGAUGGACUCGCGUCCCAUUAGCUAGUUGGUGAGGUAACGGCCCACCAAGGCGACGAUGGGUAGCCGGCCUGAGAGGGUGAACGGCCACAUUGGAACUGAGAAACGGUCCAAACUCCUACGGGAGGCAGCAGUGGGGAAUAUUGCACAAUGGAGGGAACUCUGAUGCAGCGACGCCGCGUGAACGAAGAAGGCUUUCGAGUCGUAAAGUUCUUUUAUGUGGGAAGAUAAUGACGGUACCAUAAGAAAAAGCCCCGGCUAACUACGUGCCAGCAGCCGCGGUAAUACGUAGGGGGCUAGCGUUGUCCGGAAUCACUGGGCGUAAAGGGUUCGCAGGCGGAAAUGCAAGUCAGGUGUAAAAGGCAGUAGCUUAACUACUGUAAGCAUUUGAAACUGCAUAUCUUGAGAAGAGUAGAGGUAAGUGGAAUUUUUAGUGUAGCGGUGAAAUGCGUAGAUAUUAAAAAGAAUACCGGUGGCGAAGGCGACUUACUGGGCUCAUUCUGACGCUGAGGAACGAAAGCGUGGGUAGCAAACAGGAUUAGAUACCCUGGUAGUCCACGCUGUAAACGAUGAGUGCUAGGUAUCGGAAAAAUUCGGUGCCGCAGUUAACACAUUGAGCACUCCGCCUGGGGAGUACGUGCGCAAGCAUG